GGGUUGUGAGGUUAAGCGACUAAGCGUACACGGUGGAUGCCCUGGCAGUCAGAGGCGAUGAAGGACGUGCUAAUCUGCGAAAAGCGUCGGUAAGGUGAUAUGAACCGUUAUAGCCGGCGAUGUCCGAAUGGGGAAACCCAGUGCAAUUCGUUGCACUAUCGUUAACUGAAUACAUAGGUUAACGAGGCGAACCGGGGGAACUGAAACAUCUAAGUACCCGAGGAAAAGAAAUCAACCGAGAUUCCCCAGUAGCGGCGAGCGAACGGGGAGCAGCCCAGAGUCUGAAUCAGCUUGUGUGUUAGUGGAACGGUCUGGAAAGUCCGACGGUACAGGGUGAUAGUCCCGUACACCAAAAUGCACAGGCUGUGAACUCGAAGAGUAGGGCGGGACACGUGGUAUCCUGUCUGAAUAUGGGGGGACCAUCCUCCAAGGCUAAAUACUCCUGACUGACCGAUAGUGAACCAGUACCGUGAGGGAAAGGCGAAAAGAACCCCGGCGAGGGGAGUGAAAAAGAACCUGAAACCGUGUACGUACAAGCAGUGGGAGCACCUUCGGGUGUGACUGCGUACCUUUUGUAUAAUGGGUCAGCGACUUAUAUUCUGUAGCAAGGUUAACCGUAUAGGGGAGCCGCAGGGAAACCGAGUCUUAACUGGGCGUUAAGUUGCAGGGUAUAGACCCGAAACCCGGUGAUCUAGCCAUGGGCAGGUUGAAGGUUGGGUAACACUAACUGGAGGACCGAACCGACUAAUGUUGAAAAAUUAGCGGAUGACUUGUGGCUGGGGGUGAAAGGCCAAUCAAACCGGGAGAUAGCUGGUUCUCCCGAAAGCUAUUUAGGUAGCGCCUCGUGAACUCAUCUUCGGGGUAGAGCACUGUUUCGGCUAGGGGGUCAUCCCGACUUACCAACCCGAUGCAAACUACGAAUACCGAAGAAUGUUAUCACGGGAGACACACGGCGGGUGCUAACGUCCGUCGUGAAGAGGGAAACAACCCAGACCGCCAGCUAAGGUCCCAAAGUCAUGGUUAAGUGGGAAACGAUGUGGGAAGGCACAGACAGCCAGGAUGUUGGCUUAGAAGCAGCCAUCAUUUAAAGAAAGCGUAAUAGCUCACUGGUCGAGUCGGCCUGCGCGGAAGAUGUAACGGGGCUAAACCAUGCACCGAAGCUGCGGCAGCGACACUAUGUGUUGUUGGGUAGGGGAGCGUUCUGUAAGCCUGCGAAGGUGACCUGUGAGGGUUGCUGGAGGUAUCAGAAGUGCGAAUGCUGACAUAAGUAACGAUAAAGCGGGUGAAAAGCCCGCUCGCCGGAAGACCAAGGGUUCCUGUCCAACGUUAAUCGGGGCAGGGUGAGUCGACCCCUAAGGCGAGGCCGAAAGGCGUAGUCGAUGGGAAACAGGUUAAUAUUCCUGUACUUGGUGUUACUGCGAAGGGGGGACGGAGAAGGCUAUGUUAGCCGGGCGACGGUUGUCCCGGUUUAAGCAUGUAGGCUGGUUAUCCAGGCAAAUCCGGAUAAUCAAGGCUGAGGUGUGAUGACGAGGCACUACGGUGCUGAAGUAACAAAUGCCCUGCUUCCAGGAAAAGCCUCUAAGCAUCAGGUAACAUCAAAUCGUACCCCAAACCGACACAGGUGGUCAGGUAGAGAAUACCAAGGCGCUUGAGAGAACUCGGGUGAAGGAACUAGGCAAAAUGGUGCCGUAACUUCGGGAGAAGGCACGCUGGUGUGUAGGUGAAGCCCCUGCGGGUGGAGCUGAGACCAGUCGAAGAUACCAGCUGGCUGCAACUGUUUAUUAAAAACACAGCACUGUGCAAACACGAAAGUGGACGUAUACGGUGUGACGCCUGCCCGGUGCCGGAAGGUUAAUUGAUGGGGUUAUCCGUAAGGAGAAGCUCUUGAUCGAAGCCCCGGUAAACGGCGGCCGUAACUAUAACGGUCCUAAGGUAGCGAAAUUCCUUGUCGGGUAAGUUCCGACCUGCACGAAUGGCGUAAUGAUGGCCAGGCUGUCUCCACCCGAGACUCAGUGAAAUUGAACUCGCUGUGAAGAUGCAGUGUACCCGCGGCAAGACGGAAAGACCCCGUGAACCUUUACUAUAGCUUGACACUGAACAUUGAGCCUUGAUGUGUAGGAUAGGUGGGAGGCUUUGAAGCGUGGACGCCAGUCUGCGUGGAGCCAACCUUGAAAUACCACCCUUUAAUGUUUGAUGUUCUAACGUUGGCCCCUGACCGGGGUUGCGGACAGUGUCUGGUGGGUAGUUUGACUGGGGCGGUCUCCUCCCAAAGCGUAACGGAGGAGCACGAAGGUUAGCUAAUCCUGGUCGGACAUCAGGAGGUUAGUGCAAUGGCAUAAGCUAGCUUGACUGCGAGCGUGACGGCGCGAGCAGGUGCGAAAGCAGGUCAUAGUGAUCCGGUGGUUCUGAAUGGAAGGGCCAUCGCUCAACGGAUAAAAGGUACUCCGGGGAUAACAGGCUGAUACCGCCCAAGAGUUCAUAUCGACGGCGGUGUUUGGCACCUCGAUGUCGGCUCAUCACAUCCUGGGGCUGAAGUAGGUCCCAAGGGUAUGGCUGUUCGCCAUUUAAAGUGGUACGCGAGCUGGGUUUAGAACGUCGUGAGACAGUUCGGUCCCUAUCUGCCGUGGGCGCUGGAGAAUUGAGGGGGCUGCUCCUAGUACGAGAGGACCGGAGUGGACGCAUCACUGGUGUUCGGGUUGUCAUGCCAAUGGCACUGCCCGGUAGCUAAAUGCGGAAGAGAUAAGUGCUGAAAGCAUCUAAGCACGAAACUUGCCCCGAGAUGAGUUCUCCCUGAGACUUUAAGUCUCCUGAAGGAACGUUAAAGACGAUGACGUUGAUAGGCCGGGUGUGUAAGCGCAGCGAUGCGUUGAGCUAACCGGUACUAAUGAACCGUGAGGCUUAACCUUACAACGCCGAAG
rnacentral:rRNA from 1 species